rnacentral:tRNA from 1 species
CGAGUAGUAGUUCAGCUGGUAGAACGCUUGCCCUGGGAGCAAGAGGCCGCGAAUUCGAGUUUCGCCUAUUCGACCA